rnacentral:tRNA from 23 species
UGGGGCGUCGCCAAGUGGUAAGGCAACGGGUUUUGGUCCCGCUAUUCGGAGGUUCGAAUCCUUUCGUCCCAG